rnacentral:tRNA from 1 species
GGCCCCAUGGUCAAGCGGUAAGACGUCGGCCUUUCACGUCGGAGUCACCAGUUCAAAUCUGGUUGGGGUCA